AGCGGUAAAAUGCAAUAAUCCUUGGAAGACCACCUGUGGCGAAGGCGUCUGACUAGAACGGAUCCGACGGUGAGGGACGAAAGCCAGGGGAGCAAACCGGAUUAGAUACCCGAGUAGUCCUGGCCGUAAACGCUGCGGGCUAGGUGUCGCAGAUUCUUCGUGAAUCUGCGGUGUCGUAGCGAAGGCGUUAAGCCCGCCGCCUGGGGAGUAUGGUCGCAAGGCUGAAGCUUAAAGGAAUUGGCGGGGGAGCACUACAAGGGGUGCGGCGUGCGGUUUAAUCUAAUUCAACACAGAGAAUCUCACCAGGUGCGACGGCAGGAUGAAGGUCAGUCUAAAGGGCUUACCUGACGAGCCGAGAGGUAGUGCAUGGCCGCCGUCAGCUCGUGCCGUGAGGUGUCCUGUUAAGUCAGGUAACGAGCGAGACCCACAUCUCUAAUUGCUAACGACCUUUGGGAUCGAGCACUUUAGAGGGACUGCCUUGGAAACAAGGAGGAAGGUGUGGGCAACGGUAGGUCUGUAUGCUCCGAAUCUCCUGGGCUACACGCGCGCAACAAUGGUUGGGACAAUGGGAUGCAACCCCGAGAGGGGAAGCCAAUCCUCUAAACCCUAUCUUAGUCCAGAUUGUGGCUUGGAACUCAGCCACAUGACGAUGGAAUCCCUAGUAAUACGGNCUCAACAUAACCCGGGAAUAUG
rnacentral:rRNA from 1 species